CAACAAGCAGAUCCUAGCAAAGCACUGGAGGCAAGAGAACGCAUAGGUGGAACCUGGGCCAGGAGACAGAGUCUCAUGCCAGAUCUUCUAAAAGGAAGAAUAACGGUCGGAACAAAACGUUUCAGGGGAGGAGAAUGCAAGCAGGGGAGAGGCAGAGAGAGGGGAACAGAGGAUCCAAAGCGGGCUCUGCGCUGACAGGGUGACAGCAGCAAGCCCGAGGUGGGGCUCGAACUCAACGAACCAGAGAUCGUGACCUGAGCCAAAGCCAGACACUCAACCGACUGCGCCACCCAGGUGCUCCCGGACGUGCUGUUUAAAUGAUGGAAGAACGCUUGAAAAAUCAGAAAAAAAAGGCUCUACAGGAGGUUCAGCCUUGCUAGCUAUCCUGGAACAUGACACAUCAGGAGUAAGAAGGAGCCUUUGAGAAGAUCACCACGGGAAGAGCUCAGAGUGUUGUUGUUCUGGCUGUCCUUCAGUUUUUGUUUUCUCAGAGUCCUCACCCAGUAGUUGCACUAUGCAACACUAUUUUACCAAAGUACACACACAUGCGUGCGAGCACACACACACACACACACACACACACCCUAUCCGUGCUUAAAUGGAGUACAUGACUCCAUUUUUAUACUAAUAAAACAAGGAAUAAAUUAGGAUUCUAAAA